GGACCGCGGGCCGGGCAGGUCGCCCCGGGAGGCGCGGCAGCAGGCGGCCGGAUGCGGGCAGCGCGCCGCGCGGGGCCCCCAGCGGGACAGAUGGGGACCCCAGGGGGCGUCUCCGCUCCGGUCCGACUGCUCCCCGGGCCGCACGUCCGGAGACCCCAGGCUAGGGCCGCGCAGGCCGCCGGGAGGGCGCACAACCCGCAGCUGGAGCGAGGCUCGGGCCCCGGACCCGCCGCCUGAACACUGAGACCCUGGGUUCCCUACCCGUGGAGCCUCCAGUGCCCUGGGGACCCCGCGAGCACCCGCAAGGUCCGGACUUGGUGGCACCACGUGCCCCCGUGCGCUCGGGGCCUCUGAGGGGUCGGAGGUUUCGGGAGGGUGGCCUUUCUGCGGCACCGAGAGCACAGGGCCGGGCGGAACGGGGCCGAGCGCCGCCCGCGUCGUGGUGGCGCUUCUCGGCCUCCCUGCCCCUCUCCGCCCCAGAGGCGGCGCGCGAACGGUGGGAGCCUCUGCGAGCCCAAGGGAGCACCGCAGGCCGGGACAGGCGCUGGCGAGUCACCGGGACCCCGGCCGCGAGGACGACCCGCUGCCUGGCCUUGGACGGGAUGUAAACUUCUGAGCCUCGCCAAUCUCCUCUAUAAACUGAAGAUAAGGACCUGCCAGAGGCUGAAGGGAUACGACGUGCUCGUCUGCCGCCCCUCCCUCCGCGGCGGGGACCGACCGCAAGGCGCGGAGCCCGGGAAACCCAGGAGCGCCGGCCUGCGAGCCCAACGUGACCCAGGAGCUGGCGGCUGCUGGCGACAGCCAUCACUCUGAGGAACUUCUUCCUCACACAGCCUUCCCCGCUUUCCCAUUCCCAGAGGGCCCCCACCGCCCUUCCUCUUUUUCCCCUCUUUUUGAGGGGACCCUCAGCAGCCUAACCCUGACCCCGCCGCGGCGAGGGCGCGCCGGGACAGCGGAUCUGCGCUAGGCUCAUGGCGCAUGCUCAGUGGUUUGGGUUUGGGCGGGUUCCCGGGGCGGGGAGCCUGUCUUAAGAGCGGCCCCGCCGAUUGGCCGGUCUGCGAAGGCCACGCCCAUCGCCUGCUGAUGGACAUCUCCUUACCUGCCCAGUCGGCCUCGGCAGCGCUCGGGGUGGGGGCGUGAACGCGGCCUUCAGAGGAAUCCGGCCCGAGUGUCCUGAGGCGUCGUAGCCGCAGUCCCCGGGGUGAAGGUGGCCGCCCGUUGCGUCCCACCCUACAAGAAAGCCAAACACUGUCCUAAAACGGUAUCUUAAGGUAGUAGGGAAAACUGCGAAUCUGGUGCAGAAAGCAAAACACCACAGUUCCGGACUUAAUGGGUAGGUCUGGCACAUAAUAAGACUGGAAGUUAGGCAUGCAGUCAGCGCUCAAUAAAUGCUUGCCGGAUUGGAUUGUUUUCCUAGUAGGUUGGGGCACAGGAUGUAGCCCUGAGCGAGCCUGGCGGGCUGAAAGGUAAACAAAACAAGCAAUGUGUGAUAAUAAAAACAAUUACACCCUAACCCACUUCCUCAUCUGCGAAGUGAGGGAACGGCGGAGACAUUUCCCAGGCCUCUGCUGUGCCGAGAGUAGUAGGCCUGGGGGUGACACGGGGCGGUGCAGGCGGGCUCGCCCUGCCCUGCCUGGGGACCUUGCGCUGUUUUGUCUAACCAUGCACACCCCGCCUUUACACCUGUGAGCGGUUCCCACCGCAGCUCUUAGAGGCCUGUUUGAGAAUCCUGGAUCAGAGAUCCCUUCCAGCUUGUCCCAGAGUCCAGCACACGCCUUUGCUCCGCGUUUUGCCUAAACCCAGCCACUUCUGUAAAAGGCAAACAUUUUACAUCCUUAUAUUGACAACCACAGCAAAGGCACACGAGGUUGUGAGGUUUUCUUUUCUUUUUUCUUUCUUUCCUUUUUUGUUUUAAGAAAUAUAUGAACAAAGAAAAGAGCACGUAUAUCUGGGAAGGGAAGAGUUCCUCCAGCAUUCUCCUAAUUUCGUCCAUGUCUCUACCAGUCUGAAAUUCUGUGCUUGCUGGCUGAUUCAUUAUGUGCUAGAAUUGGCAGAUUUUCAUUUAGGAAGCAGGCAUGAUGUGUAAGGUGCUGACAGUAGUCACUGACAAAGUCUAACCAAGUGCAAGUUCUGACUGUCAGAGGAGGCAGAGAAAUGUGAACUAAGCCCAGGAAGACUGAGUUUUCCCAGCAAACCAGAGCUGAGCCUCUUCUUCCUGCUAAAGCGUAUUGUUAACAAACGGGACAUUUCUCAUGUUCAAGUUUGAGCAGAAAUGUGGUCCUUAACAGUUAUGGGUUAAAUUGUGUCCCCCCAAAAAGACACUGAAAUCCUAACCCUUAUACCUGUGAGUGUGACUUUAUUUGCAAAUAGGGUCUUCGCCAGUGUCAUCAAGUUAGAAUUAGAUAAUACUGGACCAAUACGGCUGGUGUCUUUAUGAGAAGAGAAGAGACACAGGGAGAAGGCCCUGUGACGCCAAAGGGAGAGACUGAAAUGAUGCAUCUACAAGCCAAGGAACGCCAAGGAUUGCUGGCAACCACUAUAAGCUGGACGAGACACAGGAAGAUUCUUCCCUCCAGCCUUCGGAAAGAGAAUGACCCUGCUGACACCUUAAUUUUGGACUUCAGAACUGUGAGAAUAAAUUCUGUUGCUGUAAGCCACCCAGUUUGUGGUACUUUGUUACAGCAAUCCUCGGAGACUAAUACACUUACCAAAGGCUAUUUUUUUUUUUUUUAAAUCCUCACCAGAGUGGGCCUAGAAGUGUGUGAGUUAUUACUGCAUCAACUCAUUCACGGAGAGAGGUGCCACAUCUUUAUAGAAGGAGGAGCAUCAGGCGCUGCGUGGAAUGGGGAUGGAUAGUGUUUAAGCCACCAUGGAAACCACCUGUUGACGAUGGAGGCAUUCAAGAUGGGAGGACCCUGGAUCCCUAAGUCAUUCCUUAGAGGAGAGCUCCUCGGGAUUGCUUCCUCACCAGGAACAUCCAUAUUGGACUUUGUGUGAUCAAGAAAGAAACUGUGAUUGUGUUAAACCACUCAAGGUCUGGGGUUGUUAGGUACAGCUACGUUGAAUAGACUGAGGUUGAGGAAGGAGUAUAGAGGCAGGUAAACC
ensembl:lncRNA